rnacentral:snoRNA from 1 species
UGCCGCUGAUGACUUCCUGUUAGUGCCGCACGUGUCUGGGCCACUGAGACCCCAUGAUGGAACUGAGGAUCUGAGGAA